rnacentral:lncRNA from 1 species
ACUUGUCACACUUCCAUCAAACAGUACCUGCCCCUUAGGUGUGCUAGGGAAUAAAUGAAAUGCCUGGGACAUCAUCGUUAAGUGGCAUCUGAUGCAUAAGCAGUGCCCUAGGAAUGGGGUUGCCUGCCUUGGUCUCUAAAGGAUGGGUUCAAAAGGCAAGAGCAGCACACAAGAAGAUAGCUUCAAGCAGGAGAUAAAGCUUGGCCCAGGGCCCAAAGGGGAUACGACCCUUCAGCAAACUGACAUGCUGAAAGCUGCCCUAUGGAGAGGCUCAUGUGGCAAGGAACAGAGGGUGGCUUCUGGCCAACACCCAGUGAGGAACUCAGGCCCUCAGUCAAACAGCCUGCAAGGAACUGAACCCUGCCAAUAACCAGGCAGUGUCAGCCCCCGGCCAAUGACCACCAUGGACCUCCCUGUAGUUGAACAAAGUUGGGUUUGCUGACUGGUGGCAGUGAGGGAGAAUGCACACCACAGGGAGCUGUGCAGUGUCUCAGUAAGAAGGAGCCAUCCCGUGAGGCCGUUACUGCAAACAAGCUGAAAAUCCUGCUUUGUUUCUUUUGGACACAACAUGCUUUCCUUCAGCUUCAGUAGACGAUGAGGCCAGCACCACAUGGGCUAGAUGUACAUGAGAUGUGAGCAACCACACUUCCCCUCUGACGGGGACAGACAGCAUCACAGGACAUGAAGUUCUAAGAGGUUCAGUGACUUGUCUAAGAUUAAACAGCUAUGAAUGGAGAACUGGAGGCAAAUGCCUCAUCAUCUCUCACCUGGGCAACUGCAACAAUGAGCAGUUUGUGUCUGUGCCUGCAUCCAUCCUUCCAUCCUGUACUCCAGCAGCAGCCAGGGUGGUCUUUCAAAAAUGCAAAGCUGAUAAUGUUACUCCCCUGCUGUAAACCUUCCAGCGGUUUCCUAUUGCCUUCAGAAUAAAAUACGAAUCAUCUGGCCUCCA